GACAGAGGGUGCAAACGUUGUUCGGAAUCACUGGGCGUAAAGCGCACGUAGGCGGCUUUUUAAGUCAGGGGUGAAAUCCUGGAGCUCAACUCCAGAACUGCCUUUGAUACUGGCGAUCUCGAGUCCGGGAGAGGUGAGUGGAACUGCGAGUGUAGAGGUGAAAUGCGUAGAUAUCCGGAGGAACACCGGUGGCGAAGGCGGCUUCCUGGACCGACACUGACGCUGAGGCGCGAAAGCUAGGGGAGCAAACGGG
rnacentral:rRNA from 1 species